UUCACUUUGUCCUGUUGUUACCCUGGUUC
rnacentral:piRNA from 1 species